rnacentral:lncRNA from 1 species
CAGAAUCAGUAGCACCACAAGCAGAAUCAUCAGUAUCACAGGUAGAAUCAGUAACAUCACGAGGAGUAUCGCAGGCAGAAUCAGCAGCAACACAAGCAGAAUUGGCAGUAUCAGGAGAAGCAUCACAAUCAGAAUCAGUAGCACCACAAGCAGAAUCAUCAGUAUCACAGGCAGAAUCAGUAACAUCAGGAGGAGUAUCACAGGCAGAAUCAGCAGCAUCAAAGCAGAAUCAGCAGCAUCAGGAGGAGCAUCAACAAGCAGAAUCAGUAGACCAUACACAUAGCAGUAAUCAGCAGCUCAGUAGCAUCACAUGCAGAAUCAGCAGCAUCACAAGCAGAAUCGGCAGCAUCAGGAGGAACAUCACAAUCAGAAUCAGUAGCACCACAAGCAGAAUCAUUAGCAUCAGGAGGAGCAUCACAAGCAGAAAUGGCAGCAUCAGGACGAACAUCACAAUCAGAAUCAGUAACACCACAAGCAGAAUCAUCAGCAUUAGGAGGAGCAGCACAGUCAGAAUCAGCAGCAUCAGGAGGAGCAGCACAGUCAGAAUCAUCAGAAUCAGGAGGAGCAUCACAAGCAGAAUCAUCAGCAUUAGGAGGAGCAGCACAGUCAGGAUCAGCAGCAUCAGGAGGAGCAGGACAGUCAGAAUCAGCAGAAUCAGGAGGAUCAUCACAAGCAGAAUCAGCAGCAACACAUGAAGAAUUGGCAGGAUCAGGAGGUACAUCACAACCAGAAUCAGUAGCAUCACAAGCAAAAUCAACAGCACCAAGAGAAGCAUAGCAGGAAGUGCAUCACUGGGAGUAUCAGCAGCAUCAGCAGGAGCAACUGGAUUUAGCCAAGAAUUACUGGGAGGAUUAGGACUUGCUGCAGGAGCAAAAUCUGCUAUUUUUGGAUCACAUAGGCACAGACAAUUACAGACGGAAGCAGUAGAGAUGCUUGUAACUCACACCAUCAUCCAUGAAUCUUCCCAGAGAGACAAAUUUCCACAGACAGACAGGUCACGGACCAAGAAGACAGAAAGAGAGCAGCCUCCUCUAAUGCCAGAUUCAUCUGAAAACACAGAGAAGUGUGUAACAGGAAACAGAAUCCCUGAGCAAAUGACUGAAGACACUACAUCUAAUGACUCAGUAAAAGGAGAACACAAGGAAACCACAGGAGUCAGAUCAGAUCAACACGUACAACAGGAAAAGAUUGGAAGAGAAAAAAUAAAGCAUUUAUUUCACAAACUUCAUCUUGAAGGCAAGCGCUGCAAUAAACUGAUAACUUCAGAUGUCCUUCAGAUAACUAGAACAUUCAUUACAG